CGUAGGGUGCAAGCGUUGUCCGGAAUUAUUGGGCGUAAAGAGCUCGUAGGCGGUCUGUCGCGUCUGCUGUGAAAACCUAGGGCUUAACCCUGGGCCUGCAGUGGGUACGGGCAGACUAGAGUGCGGUAGGGGAGACUGGAAUUCCUGGUGUAGCGGUGAAAUGCGCAGAUAUCAGGAGGAACACCGGUGGCGAAGGCGGGUCUCUGGGCCGUAACUGACGCUGAGGAGCGAAAGCAUGGGUAGCGAACAGGAUU
rnacentral:rRNA from 1 species